GUCCUCGUAGCUUAAACUAAAGCAUAGUACUGAAGAUACUAAGAUGUUGCCACACGCAUCCGUGGACA
rnacentral:tRNA from 1 species